GAUGAACGCUGGCGGCGUGCUUAACACAUGCCAGUCGAACGGUAAAGGCGGAGUUUGCUCUUCUGGAUCAGUGGCGAACGUGUGUGUAACACGUGUGCAAUGUGCCCCUGACUCUGGGAUAAGCGCUGGAAACGGGGUCUAAUACUGGAUACGAGCUUCGAAGGCAUCUUCAGCAGCUGGAAAUAAUUUCGGUCGGGGAUGAGCUCGCGGUCUCUCAGCUUGUUGGUGGGGUAGUGGCUCACCAAGGCGUGGAGGGUUAGCCGGCCUGAGAGGGUGACCGGCAAAAUUGGGCCUGGGAAACGGCCAGGCUCCCACGGGGGGGCAGAGGUGGGGAAUAUUGACCAAUGGUGGAAGCCUUAAUGCAGAAACGCGGGGGGGGGGAGAACGGCCUUCGGGUUGUAAACGUCUUUUAGCAGGGAAGAAGCGAGAGUGACGGUACUUGGAGAAGAAGCGCCGGCUAACUACGUG
rnacentral:rRNA from 1 species